rnacentral:rRNA from 1 species
GUCCACGCCGUAAACGGUGGGCACUAGGUGUGGGAUCCAUUCCACGGAUUCCGUGCCGAAGCUAACGCAUUAAGUGCCCCGCCUGGGGAGUACGGCCGCAAGGCUAAAACUCAAAGGAAUUGACGGGGCCCGCACAAGCGGCGGAGCAUGCGGAUUAAUUCGAUGCAACGCGAAGAACCUUACCUGGGUUUGACAUAUACCGGAAACAUCUGGAGACAGGUGCCCCGCAAGGUCGGUAUACAGGUGGUGCAUGGCUGUCGU